UGUGUGUCCGGAAGUGAGCGGGAGUAGCAGCAGUGAUCAGUCUGUCUCCAGUUAGCUGUAUAACAAAGUCCUGAGGAAACACAGCGGCCUCCCAAGGAACAGCCUGCCUGUGUGCCUCAUUUCAGAGUGGGUUAUUGAAGCCGAAGCCUGGUGCUUCAGUCCGGGAAGACUGCAGAGAGUCCUCCCCUGUAUUCCUCCACUACGGUCUGGGAGCAGCAUCUAUCUCCACUGUUGCUGUAACCAUGUUAAUGUCCCUCUGUGGGACCAAUAAAGGACUUCUGAUUCUGCGGAAAGACAGAAGAGACGGGGUAGGGGCGGGUUGGAGAGCGGCCUUCUUCUUUUCCCGGAUUUGAAGAAUCCUCUUCCUCCAGUCCACCGUAUCCCAGGAUGCAAUGCGCGCCGGUGACGAGGAAACAGAGAAAAUGUCGGUCCGGUCUCAGCAGCACGUCAGCAGUAACUGAUAAAUGAUUUUCAGGGCAAUCGAUUUGCAGCCAAUCAGAGACGAGACUUCUGCUGCAUGCAUGCACCCAGCCACGCAGAGACCACGCAGUUAGCACGCAGGAGGUGAAGAGCACAGCACGUGGCGCACCCAUUACACAGCACUCCGUCAUCCAGAGGAGAGGAAGCAGCACUUUGAGAGCUGUUAGCUGCAGUACCAGCAUCGUUGGCUACCAGCAGCCAGAGAUCCUCAAAGCAGUACAUUGCUUUGCUUCCAGGUGGUUGCUCCUGUCUGAAUCUCCAAGCUCGGAGCAUACCGGCCAUCAUCUACUCUAGGGAGUUCUCCCCAGACAGCUGACACUACAUGAUAGCAGAGGACCAGACCAUCGUCAGUGGCAGUGUCCUGAAUGUUGUCGACGCCCUGAUGCUGAUGUUUGCAGCAUAUUACUGCCUCAACAUCAGUUAUCGCUCCGAACUGGGAGCUGCCCUGGAGUUCUUGCAGAGGUGCCUAUUCAAGAUCAAUCCGGACAAUGGGACUAAAGUGGAGAGGAAGGAAUACAAACAAAAACAGCACUCGAUAAAGAUAAAGAUUUCAUGAAGUUUGCUGACGACACGACCGUCAUCG